rnacentral:lncRNA from 1 species
UUGGGGAAGGUCUAUUACAUAUGAAAAGGAGCUCUAAAAGUAGCCAACAAGCAGUUUAAAACUGUACAAAAUGAUUAUGGAAUGACCCUGAAUGAAAAUUCAGAGGUUGAGGAGGCCAGUAAUGAAGAAACUUUUAUCCCUGAAGCAAAAUUCAAAUUUGUUGACAUUGAAGAGUUGGGUCCUUAUGUCAAUGGGAAGGAGCUUGUAGGUAAGAACCAAUCUUAGAAUCAACGAAGGAUUAUUUUCCUGUUCACUUGUUCUUUUGUUUAAUAUGACCCAUAUCAUUAUUAAUUCCAGAUGUUAGUGGAGUUGUUCAAAGUGUCUCUCCUACAAUGAGCAUACGAAGGAAGAGUAACAAUGAGAUUGUUCCUAAGCGUGAUAUUACUAUUGCGGACAAGACGUGAGUGUAUAUUUUAUUUUUUGCACUGGUCACUUUGGUCUAAUGUUGCUUCAUAUUGAACUUAUGGACGUUUCAAUUGUAGGAAGAAGAGUGUUGUGGUCUCUUUGUGGAAUGAUCAUGCUACUAAUGUAGGGUAGGAAUUGUUGGAUAAUGCUGAUAAAUUUCCAAUUAUUGCAAUUAAAUCUCUCAAAGUUGGAGACUUCCAAGGUAAUUCCCCUUGUUUUCUUGAGUUUGGUAUUAUUAUGGCAAUUAAGCACAUUCUCAAAAACUUGAGAAUGAUAAGAAGUCCUCUUUGUAAUGUUCUCUUCAUAUCUUGUUUUAGGAUUACAUGAAAAGACAAUAUUUAAUUUGGAGUAAAAUGAUGACUAUGAUAGGACAUGGUUACAACUCUGUAACCAAAACUUUUGAUUGGCCAACUGAAAAAUGGGAAGAAUAUCUAUAGGUAGUUUUCUUAUGGAUUUGAGUGAAUUUUAAAAAUAAUUGUCUUAUAUAUGUAUGCAUGACUAAUUUGUUGUUUAUCUUGUAAAAUAGAAAUAUCUAGAAGCUAAACAAUUUUGUUUUAAACCAUUAGCAAAUGUGGAAGAAUUAGAGGUAUUGUUUGGAGGAUUGCUAGCUACUGGGUCUAAAAAUUGGAGCUUUGGAGGAGUGAUAGCUUCUGGGGCUGAGGAAUCAUCAACACAUUCUACAUCUAUGCCUAGCGAAACUUCAACUAAUUUAGAAGAAGAUGAGAAUUUGCCAAAAAAUACUAAUGAUGAAGCAGAAGGUUUUAAGAAAAAAUAGAAGAAAUGAAAGAAAUAGCAAACUCAAGAAGAAAUGAAUAGAAUAAUGAAUGUGUUGGAGAAUUUUGAAGGAUCCUCAGUCAAAUAAUGCAUGAAGAUUUUGAAGAGGCACUUGACUUAUGAGGAUCCAUUAUACUAUGUAGCAAUUAAUGCGUUUUGCAAGAAGAAAGAGUAUAGAGAGGUGUGGGUGGAGAUGGAAAGUGACAAAGAGCGAAUGGAAUGGAUUCAAAGCUUGCGAAAAUAACUUUUUAAAUAUUUGUUUUAGAUUUGUGGAAUGCAUAUGGUAUAUGGCUUAUUUGAUGAUUGUAAUUUGGUACAUUUGGUUUGUUUUUUUUUUUUUUUAUAUUUGAUACAUUUAAACUUUUCCAAUUAUAAGAUUUUCUCUCUACAUUUUAUGGAUAUUUGUUUUGGAUAUUUGUUACUCAUAUAUUGUUAUAACUAUUUGAUUAUAUUGUUAUGCUUAUAUUUCAUAACUAUUAUUUUUUUUAUAAUAGAUAUUCUUAUGGAGAAUCCUUCACAUCACUCAAAUAGUUCAAGUUCAUCAUCAUCAAGUGAAGAUGAAGAUACAAAGUUAGAAAUUACAAGAGUUUUUAAAAAAAAUUGGUUGUGUUGUUGCUCCAAUUAUUAAGUGACUCAUCUAUUAAUAAGGAACAAGUCUCUACAUCAUCAUUUACAGGUUCACUUUUCACUCAAGAGCUUUUAGAUGGUUCAUCUAGCACAUGUUAUGAACUAAUGCGGGUGGAAAAACAUUGAUUUAUUUCUCUAUAUCACAUGUUUCAAGAAAAAUGAUUGCUUGUUGACAGUAAACAUUUGAAUGUUGAAGAGAAAAUGGUCAUGUUUCUUAUGACUAUUAGUCAUAAUCUUUGGAAUCGAUUGAUUAAGAAUAGAUUCCAACACUCAAGUCAAACAAUUCACAAAUACUACCAUGAGGUUUUAGUGGCCAUGGUGAAUUUCUCAAAAGAGAUGAUCACUCCUUCAUCAUUCAAUGAUAGUUCAAACGGUAUCUCCAAUUGUCGGCUAAGACAAAUUUUUUAAGGUAUAUUAUUUUUUAUUUCUAAUUAUUGAUAUCAUAUUUGUAUUAUUCUCAUAUAGAAAUAAUUAUCUAUAUUUUAAAGAAUUAUUACCACGUAGGAUGUUGGUGCAAUUGAUGGAACUCUUAUCCAUGCAUGCAUUCCUACUAAUCAACAAGUACCUUAUCGAGGUCAUGGGAGAGGAGAAUGUUUUCAGAAUGUUAUGGCAGUUUGUGAUUUUGACAUGAUAUUUAGGUUUGUUGUUGUUGGAUGGCAAAAACAACUCAUGAUUCAAGAGUUUUGACAGAAACUAUCCAUAACCCACAACAUAAUUUUCCAAUGCCCCCAUUGGGUAAAUAUUUUAUUUUCAUUUUAUUUAAUAUAAUUUUUAUUUAUUCAUUAUAAUAAUCAACACAAUUUUUUUUUUUCCAGAAAAAUAUUAUUUAGUAGAUGCAGUAUACACACACACUCGAGGUUUUAUGGCACCAUAUUGUAAUGUACGCUAUUAGUUAAGUGAUUUUUGUAGUAGUGGUAAAGUUGUAGGAAAAGAGGGGAUAUUCAACCAAUGCCAUGCAAGAUUAAUAAAUGUCAUUGAACGUGCUUUUGGUGUUGUUAAGGCACAUUUCCCAAUAUUGAAGAGAAUGACACCUUAUUCGUUUACUACUCAGACAAAAAUUAUCAUGACAUGCUUCUCCAUUCACAAUUUUCUUCGAAAAAUCUCAAUUGCGGAUAGAUUAUUUUUUGAAUAUGACAAUGAAGUGGAAUUGGAAAGUGGCAAUGCAAAUCAAAAUCAAAACUCAACUACAAGCAGUUUCUUUGCAGCAUCUGAUCAAGAAUUCAUGCAACAGUUCUGAGACCAAAUCACAAAUGAAUCAUUUCAAGUAUUUAAUUAACUUGCCAUUUUUAGCUUUUUACCAUUGUAAGAAAUGCAAUGUUUAGAUAUUAGCAUAAAAUGUGAUGUCUUUGGAUAUUUGAAAAUAUGUACUUGAAUUGUUAUGUUUUUUAUUUAAUUUAAUUUAGCUUUUAUCAAUCCAUUAUUUUUUAGAUUAUUAAGUUUAAAUAUUUUAUUUUAAUUAUAUAAAAAAUAAAUAUAUUAAUGAUUUUUUGUAAGGAUGACAAUGAUAAGUUAUUUAUUAUAACAAUGUUAUUAUUUUGAACUUUUUAGAAAUACGUUAAAUUAUAUUUUUUUAGUACAUUAAAAUAUUAAGAUAUUGGUUUUUAGUAUAUAAAAAAACAAACAACUUAAUACUUAAUACUAUUAAGCAUUAUUUAGUAUUAAGUUAAAUAUAAGUUAUAUUUAAAAUUAAGCCAAAAAAACAAACGUCACCUAAGUAAUCGUGCUUUUAUCUUUUCUCUUAUGAUUUUAGCUUGAUUGUGGUUCUAACUUUUUGCUUACCUAAAAUCUUUUAUAUUUCAUAAAACAAAUUUCAUCUAAAAAUUAAAAAUGAAAAAUUAAUCUUGAUUAGUCCGAAGAGUAAUAGAUUAAACAAAUAGGCCCUAAAAAUGCACAAAUUAUAUAAUUAACUCUUGAAAAGGUAUAGUUACUUGACAAUUUACAUUGAUGAGAAAAAUGGAAUUGAAAUACUUUUAUUCUUGAUAAUAUAUUCUCUUUUCAAGUGACUAUUGAUAUCAUUAAAAAUGAUGACCCUAAACUACGUCUGAAACAUUGUCCACAAAGAAAAGGUUGGUUAAAAUGGAAAGAAGUUACUUAGGUAGAAUUAGACUCAUUGACAAAAUGAGAAAUAUUUAGACAUGUAGUUUGCUUCAAGUUCUCAAGCCAGUCAAAUACAAAUGAGUAUUCGUAAGAAAGUAUAAUGAUAAAAAUGAAAUUACAAGAUAUAAAGUGUGACUUAUAGCUUAAGGUUUCUUGUACAAACGAAGUGUUGACUACGAGAAUGCAUACUCUCCGGUAAUAGAAAUAAGUACAAAAAAUUAUAGAUGUCACCAUUUCUCAUAUUAAACUUUUCAACUAUGCAUGUAACUCUAAUUAUCAAAGCAUUUAUUAUUCAUUAUGAUCAUAACCCUAUGAAUAGGGGUUGGAAAUUUAUACGCUCUCUUAUUUUCUUCUCCCUAAUUUCUCUACCUUUACAACAAAAGUAAUCUUCGCCUUAAAAUAUUUCUAAAACUAUCAUGUUUUGUGCAAAGUAGAAUGUGCGAGAAACUCACCUUUUAAAAACACUACUACAAAAAUAAUUUAUGGUGUCACUAUUUAUGGUGUCACUUUUAAAAUAAUGACACCAUAGAGUUUAUAAUUAAUAAAGGUGACACAUCAUAUAAAAAAUCUUCAAUUGAGGUAGUUAGAUGAUGUUAGUUUUAUAUUUAUAGUGUCAUUUAUCGGGAAGUGACAUCAUAUAAAAUAAAUUUUUUUAAGUAUUAUAACUUAAUGAGCUCACUUUUAGAAUUAAUAAUGAGGGAUAAUAUAUAAAAAGUCCAUUGUUUCCAUAUGUCACCUUGUAGACCCUCAAUUUUGUCCCUUGACACUUGCAUUUAUCCUGUAAGUGUCACAUGCACCCAUGCUUUCAUAUGGCACUAUUAGGGCCUCCUUUUGGGCUUAGUCAAUUUUUUUUUUAGCCUUGUUUAGGUUUGUAUGUGGUUCAUUGUGGUGCGAGUAUGGUUCAUUUUGGAGUGUCAUCGUGGCCAUUUUCUUAGUUGUUGGCAUCAUGCCAUAGGAAGGAAGUGGGGCCAUCCCAAAGUUUUAGCUCAGUUGGAGUUUAUCGGAGUGUGUCUGAGCUCGGAGCACUUGGGCCUAUUUUGGCCAUAUCUCCCUCAUCCAACCUCGGAAUUGCGCAUUGUUUUUUUUUUUUUUUCAUGGACUCCUUAUUCUUCAAGGAAAAUUUUGUCAAAAUUUCAUAAUUUUUCUCAACCGGCUCGACCAGUCCCCAAAGUUUCAGUUUAGGAAGAAUGCAUGGGAGCAAGUCCGAAUUCGGAGCACUCGGGCUUGUUUUGGCCAUAUCUCUCUCAUCCGACAUCAGAAUUGCACACCGUUUUUUUUGUGGACUCCUUAUUCUUCAGGGAAAAUUCUGUCAAAAUUUCAUAAUUUUUCUCAACCAACUCGACCGGUCCCCAAAGUUUCAAUUUAGGCAGAAUGCAUGGGAGCAAGUCUGAAUUCGAAGCACUCGAGCUUGUUUUGGCCAUAUCUUCCUCAUCCGACCUCGGAAUCACACACCAUUUUUUUUUGUGAACUCCUUAUUCUUCAUGAAAAAUUCUAUCAAAAUUUCAUAAUUUUUCUCAACUAGUUCAACCAGUUGGCGUUCGAUUCAACCGGUUCAUCAAGCUAGCUUGUAUGGAGCAUUGGUUUUGAUGAUUUUGAAGCCUAAUUCCUACAUGGCUUGGGCCCAUAAGCUCCGGAUCGGUCUUGGGCUAUAUUAUGGGUCCAUUUUGGGCCAUGGUUUGGGUUCCUUGUAGCCCACCAUGAAUCCAUAUGGAUCCUUGGUGGUGAAGCAAGCUGAAAACUUAAAGGUGUCAGCUUGCAUGGAGAAUUGGUGAGGAGAGUUAUUGGGGAGUGUGGUUUCGAGGUUGAAGGAUUGUUUUCCAGAGCUGAAUGCAUAGGAAAAUGAAUGGAAGCUGGAGGAACAAAGGGGUCUGAUAUAAAAGCCAAAAAAGGGGAAGAAGAGGGGGACUUCUCUCUAGAUUCUAGGAGGAAACUUUGUCAAAACAGUGAAAGCCAAAUGAGAAGAGGAUGGAGAGCUUAAAAAAAAGAGAGAGGGUGGGGGAAGAGUUUUGGACCUGAGAAAGUUCUGUGUGUUGGGAGAGAAAGGAAAAGAAAGAAGAGAGAAAAAAAUGGGAAAAAAGGAACAGAGGAAAGAGUGAAGGAGACGGAGGUUUUGAGAGAUUUUCUGGUUGUAGAGGGAGUAGUUUCUUGUUCGUGCUGUUGAAGAGGAAGACCUUGAUUUCUGGAAGCGGAACUUGGACGUUUGCUACCCCAAUGACUUCAUUUCUACCUUGGCAUCUUCAACGCAUGCAUAGGUAACUCUUUGAUCCUGCUUUCUACUAUUUUAUAUUCUCUUUCUUUUUGAGGUUUGUUGCAAUAAUCUGUUCAGACAAGAAAAUGAGGGCCUUUGCUGAUUAGUCUUUGGGUCAAGUUUGUAAGUUGUCUGAGACUAUGCAUGUCUGAUUCAACUGAGAGUGAGUCUGUUAUUUUUUGAGCAUUCAAAACGGUCAUUGGAGGUAUAUGAAAGAUAAGGCUGGGAUCCUUGCAUUUUCAUUAUUGCAUGCUUAAGCUCCCAUGUAUGGUGUGGUUUGUUUUGUGAACAAAGCAAGUAUUUCUCUCAUUAGCAACUAGUUUUUAUUUGAGAAAAAGUCUCUUUGGACUGUUUUGUUUGGAAUUUGGGGUAGACCAUUUCAGUUUUUCAAUUAGGAUUAAAGGUUAUGGCAUAUUGGCUGAGCCACUGUGCUCAUCAUUCAGCCAUUGGGGCCUCGUUGGUCCUAGAUUUGGCAAGGGAGGGGACAUGGUGUUCAUUUCCUUUGAUUGUAGGAAAUACGAUUAAUUUGUUUGGGAAGUAGGCCCUUUCAUUUGUGGCCUUGCCCUUUUAGGCAUGCAUGCUAAAGGCUUAUGGAAAAAUUGCAUCUACUAAAGCAUUGGCUUAAGUGGCGAAUUUUCGAGAAAACAAUGCAUUUUGGGUGGCUCGGGUUUGGCCUUUUAUGGAACACAUCGCAUUGUUUCUGCCGAUUCUCCCUUAUCCGGGCUCAGAAUUGAGUGUUGUUUAUUUUGUUGGAUUCCUUAUUCUCUGAGGAAUAUUAUGGUAAAGUUUCAAAUUUUUUUUCAAUCGAAUGAACCAGUUGGGAACCGGUUCAACAGGUGGCUUGGUGGCAGCCCUGUUUUUUAAAUGCUUUGCAUUGUUUCGGCCGGCUCUCCCUCAUCCGGGCUUGGAAUUGAGUACCGUUUGUUUUUUUGGAUUUCUUAUUCUCUGAGGAAUAUUUUGGUAAAGUUUCAGAUCUUUUAUCAACCAGUUGAGUCAGUUGGAAACCGGUUCAACCGGUUCUGCUAGGUAGUUCCAGUUUCAGCGUGUUUUGGCCCCUAUUUUUGUUAUGGUUUGGGCACUUAGGCUCCAAGGCACUUGUAGGCCACCUUUAGGGUUUGAAACCAGAUUUGGUUUGAAUUAAUGUGGGCCCACCUAUGAGUUAAGGGUAUUAUUGGCUAGGAAGAUCGNNNNNNNNNNNNNNNNNNNNNNNNNNNNNNNNNNNNNNNNNNNNNNNNNNNNNNNNNNNNNNNNNNNNNNNNNNNNNNNNNNNNNNNNNNNNNNNNNNNNACUAACCCCUCAUUGCAGCGCUUGGCUAGGGACCCAAGGUACGUACUUUGACCCAUGGUUUGAGCUCAUUUGUAGGCCUUGGUAUCUAGUGAUUGAUGUUUUGACAUGUGAUUGCCAUGCAUGCUUGUUGAGUAUUUAUUCCUAUUGGCUAAUCAUUUAUGCAGCGCUUGGCUAGGGACCACAGGUAUGUGUUUGAUUGUUCGAUUUUGUGUUAGUUUGCCCACAUGGCAUUUGGAUUGCAAUUCUUGUUGUGCAUUGAUGCUUAUUGACUGAUCUUUUCUACAGCGCAUGGCUAGGGACCUCAGGUAUGCCAUUUGUUGAUUUAUUGAGUGCCUAUGCAUGCUAGAUAUCGAUUAGGUUUGUGUGAUUCGUGUUGUCUAUGAUUAGCCUAAGAGGCUAUUUGAUCCUUGACCUAUAUACUCCCACAUGCCCAAUUCAAUAGUAGAGACCGAGUUUCAGGCCUAGAGAGGUGCUACCUCACAUGAGGUACCUUCCCGAUAGGUAACCUGAUCCCCGGACCAAGACUUAAGUUUCGUAAACCACUUUUUCCAUACUAGAGUCAUCAGGGGUUUUUAUUCUUACUUAAUUUUUCCCCUUUAAAAAACAAAAAUAAGAAGUAAGUGGCGACUCCAAACAAAACCAUUCCUCAUUGGGGACGGAUUUUUUUUCAAAACUCGAAAACCAUUUUUCCAUUCCAUUCCACACCACUCUUUAAAAAAAAAAAAAAAAAGAUAGCAAGUCGCACCAUCCGAGUGGAUCGGGUGAGGGUCCACACACCUACAAUAAAAAAAAUCUCAAUAUAUAAACCCUAUAUAUAAAACCAUAAUCUUCUUCUACAUUUUCUCUCAACCAUAGUCAACACGCUCACAAUCGACAUUCUUCACUUUGUGGACUCCCAGGUAACACAAAAUCUCUUAGAUCUAUCAUUUUUUUUCUUUAAUUAAUGUCAUUAUAUUAAUUGUUUCAACAUCUUUGUACUAUGUUUUUUGUGAAUUGUGUUUUCUUGAGUUGUGGGGAAGAAAAACUUAGGUUUAAUCUUCUAGCAUAGAAGAAAAAACUGUAGAUUAAUUGAUUUUUUAAUCUAAACCAAACACAUGAUCAAGUCCUUAAAAAAUAGUGAAAAACAUGAAAAAAUGAAUGAUUUUUAAUGACUAAUUGUGUGAGAAUGAAGGUACAAAAAUCCCCCAUAUGGUGAACAUGUUCCUUGUCUGAAAUCUGAAAUGCCCCAUUGUAUUUCUCCAUGUGAACCUUUCCAUCCAAUAUAAUUGGCCUGAAGAAUGCUAGGUCAUUCACUACUUCCAUCAUCUCUUUGGUGAUUCCGGUCUCCGCCCAUGGCCAGAGAUCCUCGUAGCUCCUUCGGAAGUAGUCCAGGCAUGCAUUAUAGGAGAAUGGGUGCUAUUUGGUUGAGAUUGUAAAUCUGUGCUUAACAAGAUCGAAACCCUCUCAGAUUCAUCAGAUCCGAAUUCAAACUCGCCGAUGUUGGGAUUAUCGUUUGCAGCCUCUUCUGCUGGCUCUUGAUUCAGCCUCCGCGAAAGUCAUGUAGCCGGUGCUGGAGUGGUUGUUCAAGUUGUAUUCGCUGGGACUGAUCUGUGGCGUGAUUGAUGGGAAAUGGAUGAUAGAGGCGGUGUAAAAAUCGGCCAACAGCGGUGAUGACGUGGUCGACCUCGCCGUGCUUAAGGUUCUUCCCUUUGCGAUUCGAUUGCCAGUGGUGGAAGUUUUGAAUGGGUCUAAAUGUGAUGGGAAAAUUGGAAUGGAUCAGUGGGUAUAAAAUUGAAUGGAUCUUGAUUUCCUGAUUUCUUGAUUUCCUGAUUUCUUGAUUUCUUGAUUUUGUGAUUUCUUGAUUUCGUGAUUUCUUUUUAAGUGGAAAUGUUGAUCAAUAUGAAGAUCAUAUUGCAUACGCCUUUAUCUCUCUUGUAAUUGUGUGUCUAAAAAUCCUCUUGUCUGUCAUGACAAGCCCAUCAAUGGCCUGUUGCUGUAUAAUCCUGCACUUAGAAUACCAAUUCCAUACCAUUACAUUGAUUUCAACCAAAGAAAAUCCAGAUUCGUUUCAAUUUUCUCCAUUAUUUUGAAAAUCAACCAUCAUUUUCUUCUUUUAUGACUUCCAGACCUUAGAAUUUCCUUAGGUACAUAGGUGAGGACCAUGUGGUUUCUCUAUUGGUACUACCUUGAAAACGCAAUUUCAAAGUGCAGUGACUCGGGUCAGCACAACCUUUGAAUUGCCCCACCUUUGUGGGGACUUGGGCAUUUUACUCACUGAAUCACUAAAAUAGAAUUGUCUUUUCAAAUUUUAUUUUAUUUUAUUUUUCUCCAGGCUGGCUAGAAAUAUCUACGAUUGGAUUUAAUUUAUUUGUACCUUAAUUUAGGUGAUAUUUGUUAAAACUAACACUUAGAAAUUAAAUUCCAAAAAUACCCCUAAGCCACAUGUCUUUCACUCAAAUAUGAGCCACAUGCUACAACAAUAUCAAACCUUCACUUAAUCAUUGGUUUAUUAAGGAUGAGAGUGAAAAACUCAUAUUUAAUACAUUUGCCAAUCAAGCUUGUAUUUCUAUGGUUGUGGGCAAACGUGACCCAUUAAAAUAACAUGGCAAGUAGAGGUCUUAGAUGAUCGUGUUCAUCAACCUUUUACUUUAUCCUAACAUGAUUAUGAUGUCAACCAAUUACAUACUUAUUAAUGAACUCUUUGGAAAUGAUAAGCUAGAAAUAUUUAUUUCAAAGUGGGGCCAUUCCUCUCACCAUGAGGUACAUAACCCAACUACCCAAAUCCCAUGUAUGGUGGUUUUCACAGUCAAAAAAUAACUCAAAAGCUGUCAAUUCAAUAUAUAGUCUGAUAUAAUAUUUUUAUAAAUAUUUUGGACUAAAUUAUGAAUUUAUGGUCCCACGGCUUCAACUACGGAUAAGUCUAUUAAUGCAAACAAAAAGACUAGUACUUUUGAUAAAUUUUAGUAUUUAUCAAAUUUAUGGUUGUAGCUAGUUGACAUUUAGUAUUUAUAAAUUAAAAUUUUAGUACUUAAAUUUAAUAUUUGUAAGUUAUAUAAAUGACUUUCAGCAUGUAAUAUAUAUUAAUACACAUGUUCAUACUUGAAAUGUUACAUUUUUUUGGAUUAUUAGUUUAAUUUAAUGGAGAUGAAUAUUUAGUGGAAAAGUUACAAUGUAUUAUUGAAAAUAUGACUUGAUAGUUGAUUAUGGAUAUGUGUCAUUUUUAGUAUAAAAAAAAAAAAAUUAAAUCUGUAACAUUUUACAUUGAUAAUAUAUUAUUUUUGUAACAGGUUCAAAUAGUAAGUAAUUCAUUAUCAAAGAAGUUACUGAAAGUGUAAGUGUACGUUUAUUUAUUGCAUGCUCUUAUAUAGUAUCAAUUGUAAGGAAGAUAAAAUUACCUUGUAAAGGUAAUUAAAUAUUUAUAUAUUUAAAUUUUUUUUUCUAUAUAUUAUGCUUUUGAAGCUUGUUUAAUGAAACAUAUUAGUUAUUUGACAAACUUUUCACAAAUGUUUUGUAUACUUAUGUGUUUUAUUUUGUUACAAAGUUUUAUGCAUAAUACUUAUGUAUAUUUUUUCACAAACUUUUUACAACUAUUUUGUGUACUAAUGCAUAUUAAUUUUUGUUUUUGUCUAUAUAAGCUACAUUUAGUUAUUUAAAUAUAUCCAAUAUUAUGUUGAAGAAAGAUGUACUUAACUUUCUUUUGUUCUUAAUAUUAACAAAUUUUGCAGUUCUCUUGUCUAGGAUAUAUAUUCCAUUAUUUAAAUUGAAAUGGAAAAUCAAGAUUGGAUGUUAAAAGAUAGAAGGUUGAUUGAGUAUGAUGUUGAAAACUUUAUCAAUUUUGCAUUGGCACAUUCAACCAACCAUACCUCUAUCAAAUGCCCAGGUUUACGUUGUGGAAAUAUGUCAUGUCAAACUCCUCAAGUCAUUAGAGAGCAUUUGUUCUUUAACGGAAUAGAUCUUAGUUAUCGAGUAUGGUAUUGGCAUGGAGAAAAGGGUCCCAGUGUAGGAUUUUCAAAUGUCUCACAACAACGUUAUGACAAAUGCGAGUAUAAUGAUGUUGCUGACACAAUAGAUAUGGUUAAUGCUACACAAGUUAAUUGUAUGAAUGAUCCCCAAGUGUUUGGAAGGUUACUUGAAGAUGCGGAAAAACCUUUAUAUCCUGGAUGCAUGAAAUACACAAAGUUAUCAGCAUUGGUAAAACUUUACAACUUAAAAGCACGUUAUGGUUGGUCUGACAAAGGAUUCUCAGAAUUGCUUCAGUUGCUUGGAGAUAUGUUGCCAUUGAAUAAUGAGAUGUCGUUGUCCAUGUAUGAAGCUAAAAAGACUUUCAGUGCUCUUGGUAUGGAAUAUCAAAAAAUUCAUGCAUGUCCUAAUGAUUGUAUUUUGUAUAGAAACUAGUAUAAGGAUGCUAUUGCAUGCCCAACUUGUGGAAAGUCAAGGUGGAAGAUAAACAAUGAGGGGGGAAAGAUUAAGAAGGGGGUUCCUGCAAAGGUUUUGUGGUAUUUCCGACCAAUCCCUAGAUUCAAAAGGAUGUUCCAAUCCUCAAAAACCGCUAAAUAUCUUAUGUGGCAUGCCAAGGAUAAAGAAUAUGAUGGCAAACUACGCCACCCAUCAGACUCCUUAGCAUGAAACUAGUUGACCAUAUGUGGCCUGAUUUUGCUUCUGAACCGCAAAACCUUAGACUAGCACUCUCAACAGAUGGUAUAAAUCCUCAUAAGUCUAUGAGCAGUAGACAUAGUUGUUGGCCUGUUAUAUUGAUCAUACACAACCUUCCUCCUUGGUUGUGCAUGAAAAGGAAGUUUAUGAUGCUAUCAUUAUUGAUCUCAGGACCAUGACAACCUGGUAAAAAUAUAUAUGUUUACUUGAGUCCAUUGGUGGAUGACCUUAAAACUUUCUGGGAAAAAGGAGUUGAGACUUAUGAUGCACACUUGCGUGAGGUUUUUACUUUAAAGGCCAUCCUUUUAUGGACAAUCAAUGAUUUCCCUGCAUAUGGAAACUUAGCUGGUUGCACUAUGAAAGGAUAUUAUGCAUGUCCAAUAUAUGGAGAAGGAACAUGUUCCAAAAGAUUAAAGCAUGGUAGGAAGAACUCGUAUAUGGGUUACCGACAAUUUCUUCCAUGUAACCAUCCCUAUCGGAGACAAAAGAAGGCAUUCAAUGGUGAAUAAGAUUUUAGGAUUCCUCCUAAAAUUUUGAGUGGGGAAGAAAUACUUGAAAAUUUUGAUCUCAUUCCUAUUUCUUGGGGAAAAAUGAAGAUAAAAUCUCUUGAAUCUGAUGUGAACACAAAUUGUUGGAAAAAAAAGUCUAUAUUUUUUUAGUUAGAAUAUUGGAAAUAUCUUUAUGUCCGUCACAACUUGGAUGUUAUGCACAUCGAAAAGAAUGUCUACGAGAGUAUUAUUGGUACUUUGUUUAACAUCCCAGGGAAAACAAAGGAUGGACUUAAUGCUCGACUUGACCUAGUUAAAAUGAGUUUAAGGUCUGAACUUUUCCCAAGAGUUGACUUGAAACGGACCUACCUUCCCCCUGCAUGUUAUUCACUAUCCAGAAAUGAGAAAAAAAUUAGUUUGUCAAACGUUAUCUAAUUUGAAGGUCCCUGAGAGGUAUUGCUCAAAUUUUAGAAUUUUUGUCUCCUUAGAGGAAUUGAAGUUGUUUGGUCUAAAAUCUCAUGACUACCAUGCACUUAUGCAACAACUGUUGCCAGUGGCAUUACGUUCUAUUUUGCCAAAGCAUGUGAGAUAUACUAUAUCAAGAUUGUGUAUCUUCUUCAAUAAAUAAUGUACAAAAGUAAUUGAUGUGCCAAAAUUGAAUGAAGUACACAAUGAGUUAGUGGUCACGUUGUGCUUACUUGAAAAGUAUUUUCCACCUUCAUUUUUUGAUAUUAUGCUUCAUCUAACAAUGCAUUUGAUAAGGGAGGUGCGACUAUGUGGUCUAGUUUACUUUAGGUGGAUGUACCCAUUUGAGAGGUAUAUGAAAGUUCUUAAAGGAUAUGUUCGCAAUCAUAAUUGGCCUGAAGGAUGCAUUGCUGAGUGCUAUUUAGUAGAGGAAGCUGUCGAAUUUUGUACUAAAUAUUUAUCAGGGACUCAUGCAAUUGGAAUUCCAAAAAAUAACAAUUAUGACAACAAAUUUGGUAGACCUAUAACUGGUGGUCGCUCUACCAACAUUGAUCAUAAAUUGUGGUUACAAGCACAUCAUUAUGUGUUAGAGAAUACAACUAUUGUCCAGCCAUACAUUGAGUAAGAAAAAUAUACCUUUAUUUUUUUUUAUAAUUUCAUAACAUAAUGAUGAAAUCCUAAGUUUGCAUUCCUUGUCUAUAACGUUAUAGAAAACACAUGAAUUGGUUGAAGUCUCAAUACCCUCGACAAUCUAAGAGACAAAUUUGGUUGCAAGAAGAACAUAUGCAUUGUUUUACAUAUUGGCUUAAAGGAAAGGUAAUCUCUUAGUUUUCAGAAAUUAUUUUAAUAUGUUGAAAACACCACAAGUUUCCAAUUAUGUUUUGAUUACACAUAGGUUGAAGAGGCCAUCCAUAACAGGCAAGAUAUUCCCAACACGCUUAGGUGGUUAGCACAUGGCCCUACUCACCAGGUGGUCAAAUAUCCUGGAUAUAUCAUUAAUAGGUGUCGUUACCAUACUAAGGAACGCGAUAUGACAUGCAUCACCCAAAAUAGUGGUGUUAGCAUUUUAGCAAGGACUAUGCAAAUUGCCAGUUCUAAGGAUAAUAACCCAGUUUUUGGUGAACUUUGCUUUUAUGGGGUCAUUAAUGAGAUAUGGGAUCUUGAUUACAACAUGUUCAGAAUUCCAAUUUUCAAGUGUGAUUGGGUUGACAACAAGAAUGGUAUAAAAGUUGAUAAACUCGGGUUCACAUUAGUUGACUUCUCCAAAAUUGGUCACAAAUCAUAUCCAUUUAUUUUAGCAUCACAAGCCAAGUAAGUCUUCUAUGUUGAAGACCAACUUGAUCCCAAAUGGUCAAUAGUUCUCUCAAUUCCUCCAAAAGAUUUCAAGAACAUGGAAGGGCUGGAUGACUUCAUCGAUAAUUGCAUGGAACAUCACCCCUUUAUAAGUUCAAUGCCAGAAGUUGAAUCAUUUGAUGCUAUGGAUGAAUCAGAGGCAAUAUACAUGAGAGAAGACUGUGAGGGCAUAUGGAUUGAAAAAAAUUAAAUAAUAUAUUGCACCCUUGACAUGAGAUAUAAUAAGGCAUUUCACUUAUUAGUUUUCAUGAGUUGCAUAUUAGCUUAGCUUCUAUAUAUUGCUCAUUUAUUCAAAGGUACCACUUCAAUCUUCAUUUAACUAUCUUUUUUGUUGUCCAUGGAACUAGAUUUAUAUUAUUUUUUAUUAUCAUGUUUUGAUUUUAUGCUCACAUAACUUGAAACUCUCAUUCCUAAAUUUCUUUUUCAUUAAAACUAUAAAUAAUAAUUGAAACUAUAUAUGCACUAAUUUAUUUUACUAUUAUCCUCACGAAUAAAUUCUUCAUUAUUGAUAAGAAAUAAAAAAACAAGACAAACUUUGAAAGAAAAUUUCAAAAACUAUAUUUCUGAAUGACCAAUUUAAUUAUAGGAAAUAUAUGUAAGGCUAUACUAAUCUUGAUUUUGAGUCAUUUUACAGGUUUGUUAGUGAAGUACUAGUUUGCACAUUUACUUGAUAUCUUCCACACAAAUAUGGAUCCAGAAGAAAAGGAAACACCAAAAGUAAAGCAUAGAGGUAGUACAUUGAAACUAGAGAUUGCAAAAAAUCGAAGUAAAGGGAUAAAACUCAAGAUUGAAUACAAUAGCCUUGGUAGUCACAUUGGGGAAAAUUCAGUUGAAUUAAGUAGUUAUCUUGGUACAAUAACUAGAACCCAUGUGCCAAUAAUUAUUGAGAGUUGGAGGAAAGUCCCUAAAGAGACUAAGGAGAAGUUAUGGGAUUUGAUCAUGGUAAGUCUAUCUAUAGCUUUCAUAUAUAAUUAUUGUAUACAUUCAUUAACAUGAGCUAACAUGGGUUGCUAUUUUGUAGACAAGCUUUAAUGUGAAUCAAAAUUCUAAGAGGAAUUGUUUCCUACUAAUGGGUAUCAGGUUUCGAACCUUUAAGUACAAGUUGACAAAGAAAUAUAUAUUGCCUUUCAAGAAUGACCUAGAAAAGCUGAAAAAGCCAUCUCCUAUCUACCCAUUCAUACAAGAGGAUCAUUGGAGACAGUUUGUUAAAGAUAGACGUUCUGAACAUUUUAAUGUUAAGCAUUAUUUUUAAUACAUCUUCAAUUUUUACAUUUACAUAGUUUCACCAUGUACUAAUUUUGUGUUUAUAUUUUGUAGGAAUAUUGCAAGGUUUAGAAAUCAAGAAGAGAUAAACACAUUUACAAUCAUUAUCUUGGAAGAAAAUGAUAUACACGUUUUGAGCAAAAUAUAGUAAGUUAUCAAUAUUGGUAAAAAAUUGGAGUAUAUAUAUUUUGUUUAUAAGAAAAUGAUUCCAAUUUUUAAAUGUCAUUUAUUAACUUGAUCAUAUUGAACUAAUGAGUUUUCUUGUUAAAAUUUUUAUAGCUACAAGCAGAAGGGGGUAUUGGUAGGGUUGAUAGAAGUGUUUUAUGGAAGAAAGCACGUGAGAAGAAAGGAAAGUUUAAUAAGAUUACAGAGCUAGUGAUUAACAUGAUAGUAAGUUAGCAUAUUUAUGCCAUUUUAGAGCCUAUAGUGUUAAUAUGUCUAUGUGACUAUGGUUUGUGAUGAUAUCAUUAGGUGUUAAUAGGUAAGAGGCUUAAUGCUAUCAUUUUUAUGAGUAGUUAUGUUAUACAUCAAUUUGUCUAUUAUCCUUUAUAUUAAAACAAUUCAUUUUCUAGCUACCUUGAAUUGGUUGUCUUUGAUUGAUAUGUAAAUCAUCUUCAUCAAAUUAUUACUAAUAUAUGUUUUGUUGUAGGAUGAAUUACUAGAAAAGGCUAAGGAGACUGGACUACCUCCACCUGGUCCAAAUGACAUAUUAUGUCAGGCAUUGGAUAAGCUUGAUCAUCCAAGAUGUGUGGUAGGUCAAGACCAUUUGGUUAGGCCCAGCUCAUACUUUCAUCAACCAUCUGAUGACAUGAAAAAAAAUCAAAGAAGAAAUAUGGGAAAUGGUACGAAAAGAGAUGGAAGAUGCUGCAACAAGACAAGUUAUGUCUCCCCCCACACACCAUUCUGAUAUGGGUAGUAAUAACAUGAGACAACAACUUGUUUUACAACCAGUUGUAGCAGAAAAACCAAUGUUUAAAAUGAUAGAAGAGCCCCAACCACCAGAACCACCACUGAAACACAAGGUAUGCAUUUACUUACUAAUAAUACAAGAUUAAUAUAAGUGAUAUAAAGCCUAUGUAAAUGAUAUUAUUUGUUGUAUUGAAGGUAAUUAAAUGUAAAUUAGCAGUGGAAAGAAAAAGAAAUGUUGUUGCAACUGGUACACUAAUAGAAGAAAAAUGAUAGAAUAGGUUGGUUGUACUAAAUGUUGCACACAAGCCAGAUGCUAGACUCCCAUUUCUAAAUCCAUAUGAGAUUAUCAAUGUUGGGGAUGCUAUUGGCUUUGAGCUUGAUUGGCCAACAAGCCUUGUCAUAAUUAAAACUGAACAUCCUUAGGUAUGUCAUUUUAUGUUUAUAGUAAAUUUGAGUGUAACUUGGUAUUUUAUUGUUUAGGAGUAUAUAUAUCUAACAUUCCUUCCUUUUUCAUAGGUGUUGGAUAAAGGAAAGAAGAAGAUAGUGAAGACACCAAUUAUUCGAAAAUCUAAGCCUCAAAAUCAUUCGACCAUUAAAAAUUUUCAGAAAUUUGUGGAUGGUUGUCUUGGUAAUGACAAGACAUACCCAAUACAGCUCCCCAUUUCACUAUUUGGUGUCGAAUUUCAAACAUAUAUAUCUCGAGAGGAUUGUGAAUACAUUAUUUCAUCUUUAGAGGUGUCAUCAAACUGCAUCCCCUUCCAUUUAUGGUAUGCACAUUUUAUUUUCAUUUGUUAUUAUUUUUUUAAUAUGAGUUGCCCAUGUUGAACGAGAUUGGAUAUGACUAAUGAUAAUUUUAUUUUGGUGUUUUGAUACAAUAAUAGGCACAUGGAUGAUCAACUACAUAUUGCCAAAAAGGAAUCACAAUUUAUAUUUGUUAAUCCUUUUACAAUAUCACGAGCAGACUUUAGUACUCCUCAAAUAGAGAAAAGAGCACAAUUGUUGUCAAAACGCUUAAUGGAGUUCCAAGAUGCUAAAUAUGUUUUCAUACCCUACAACCCCGAGUAAGUGACGAAUAUUAUACUUUAAUUUGAGGUUUUAUGAUUGAUUUAUAUUUCUAAUUAGAUGCUACUUUUGUUUUUAAUGAUUUAGCUUUCAUUGGGUCUUGGUAGUGAUUGAGCCAAGGAAAAUGAUAGUCCACUAUCUUGACCCUAUGCAUCACAAACCAUGUGAGGACUUAAAGGAUAUCGUAAACAUGUAAGUUCUUCCUAUUAUUUUUCAUAGUAUUAUUUAAAAAAAAAAUACAUUCAUCUCAAAACACAUUUUUUAUUAUUAUUUAUAUAUAUUUUAAAACAUAUAACAUUUACCUAUUUUAAAAAUGUACCCAUUGAACUUAUUUACAUAGGGCUCUUCGAAUAUCUACAAAGAAAACAUCUAAGAGAGAGCUAUCUUGGCAACUAGUGCAGGUGACAUCCAAAAAUUUUUCUUUACACAUUAGCUUAUGCAUUUGCACCAUUUAUAUAUAUGAGUAUUAUUGUUAUUUUAUAAUUGAUCGAUUAGUGUCCAAGACAAGAAAGAGGGUUCGAAUGUGACUACUUUGUUAUGAGAUUCAUAAAAAAGAUAAUUUUUUAUCCUACAAUUAUUGCUUCAAAGGUAUUACAAAUUUAAUGAAUUGUACAUAGUUUUAGGCUUCCAAAUGUUAUGCAUUUUAAUGUUAUUUUCUUAUUUGAUUUCAGUUUGGUGAUAAAAAAAACAUAUUCUCAAGUAGAAUUCGAUGAAAUUAGAUGAGAAUGGGCUACUUUUAUGCUACAACUAAUCAUGAUCACCAUGCAUGGUGAGUCCCUUAGCUACUACAUGAAUUUUUCCAUAGGUAUUGUAUAGUAUUGCUUAUUCUUUGAAUAAUGUUUCUAUUUGAAAAAAAGAAAAAAAAAAUAGUUCUUAGAUUUGUUCAUUUAUGAUAACUUCGAUCCAUGUUUAUUUUCUUCAAUAAAAAUCUAUAAAACUCAUUAAACUAUGAAAUGCAGGUAUACACUUUUGGGAGGGUGGAAUGGAGAAUAAAAAGAAAGAAGAAGGCAACAAGAUUUUGGGUUUUUAAAUGCUACUCUUAUGUCAUACGUUGUAGGACAUAAAUGUUACUUUAAUUGGUACUGAGAAAUUUAGAUUUUAGAUGAGACUUUUAUGUCAUUUUAUAGUUAGCCGAUUUUAUGCUUAUGAAAUGGAGGUAUACAUGAAUCUUGGGAUCUUUAACAUUUCUAAAUCAUGUUUUGGUAUGUAUUCACUCUUCUUUUUUUAGUUUUGAUGGAUUUGAUAUGUUGGAUGUACUAUCUUUUUGUGAACAUUUGAUAUACAAAUAUUAUUACAUGAUCAAUGUAUUAUGAGUUAUUCCAGAAACAUUAUAGAAAAAUGAGUUAAAUAUAAUAUGAUUGUUAUAUUUAUGGACAAAAUAUAAACAGGUUAAUCUUACUUAUUAAUUCAUAAGCAUUACAAAAAACUAUAACUAAAAGCAAUCAUAUUUUUCACAAUAAUUUACAAUGAUGUGACACCAUUACUCAAAAGUGAUGCAUUUAAUGUGACAUCAUAACUCAAAGAUGAUGCAUUUAAUGCGACACCCUAUCAUCACUAGAAAUAUAUGAUGCCACUUUCGAAUGGGUCGCCAUUUAUCUACUUUAGUGUCACUUCCAAAUACGUCACCAAUUGGUACCCUCUAUGGUGUUAGUGGAGAAGGUGACGCUAUGUUGUAGUGACACCCUAUGUUUACGGUGGUUCGUCAUAAAUGUCACCAUAUAUCUUUUUCUUUGUAGUGAAAGAUGAUUUCAAUAUAAAAAUAGUUUAUUAAGUGAACACUAAAUUCAUUUUGACUAAACUAUUUAAAUUAAAUUGAUAUGGAGUUCGUCUUCUUUGGAAUUCUAUAUCAUAAAAUAAGUCAAAUUUUAUUGUGAACAGGUCCCUCACAGCAUGAGUAGGUCUAGACAACCUACUCAGUAAUAAGCGAAGGAUUAACGUAAAUGCUAUUAGCAAUUCAAUCGACCAACUUGCAUCCAUGAUCAUGCUUCCAGAUGUCGGCUAACUUGGCAAGGGCAGUAGUGGAUGAGCCCUCCUCUCUCCAAGCUUCCACCGCCAUCUCUCUGGUCUUAUUAAUUCUCUCUCUCAGAUCUCUCCCCUCUUUAGAAUCCAUCAACCCUUUGAGUCACCUCUCCAACUCAGCCCCACUCACAAACCUGUCACCAUUUCUCUGCUCCACACCAAUGGCCAUCUUCAUAUUCUCGACCAAAACAACCUUAUUCAGGUGUUGUUCGGUGUGGAGAGGCCAUGCCACCAUUGGCACUCCCACAGACACCGCUUCCAACACUGAGUUCCACCCGCAAUGAGUCACGAAUCCACCCACGGAUUGGUGUCUUAGCACCGCCACCUGCGGCGCCCAUGACUUCACCACCAUUCCUCUAUUAUUGGUUCUU